rnacentral:rRNA from 1 species
UACGUAGGGUGCGAGCGUUGUCCGGAAUUAUUGGGCGUAAAGAGCUUGUAGGCGGUUUGUCGCGUCUGCUGUGAAAAUCCGGGGCUCAACCCCGGACUUGCAGUGGGUACGGGCAGACUGGAGUGCGGUAGGGGAGAUUGGAAUUCCUGGUGUAGCGGUGGAAUGCGCAGAUAUCAGGAGGAACACCGAUGGCGAAGGCAGAUCUCUGGGCCGUAACUGACGCUGAGGAGCGAAAGCGUGGGGAGCGAACAGG